rnacentral:lncRNA from 1 species
GGUAGCCUUAUCUCUAAGACUAGCAAGUCAAAGAGGGUUGAAGAGACUCCUCUCAAGUGCCACUGGCUAGACUCCAAACUCUGGUCUUCUGCCUUCAGGACUGGUGCUCACACCACCACCUCAUAUGCAGAAGCAUCGUUCGUCUCUAAAUUCUUGGAUGUGGUCCAUGGGAAUGACAAAUGAAGUUGACGAUGUGUAGGUAAGGCUAGUUUGGCUAAUCUGAAAAAGACCUGGGUUCACAAGCUGGAAAGCAGUCAACAAGAGAUUCAGCAGCCAAGUACAACAAAAGAAAACCAGAAGAGCAUUGCCAAGUCAGAACUAGCAGUUCUCACAGAUACUUAUGGCAACCAAGCAGGCACAGGCGCCAUCUUUUGUUCUCAUGGUUUUCCACCUACUGGGACCAUCUGCCUACUGAUUCUGCCUCUACUUCACAGGAAAUAUUCUCCUUACAAUGGAGAACUACUCCCAAAUCCUCCUCCAUUUAAGGAGAGUGCCCAGGGAAUCUACCUCAUUAUUUUCCAGUUGAUUGCUUUCCUAGAUUCCAUGAUCUCCAGAGGCUCAUCAUUCUACAGGAUGAAAUCAACUCUGAUUUCCCUUACAUGUCUGUGUGGCAGAGUCCUUCAGAGCUCAAGAUCCCAUGAUCUCCAGAGACUCAACAUUCUGCAAGAUGAAAUCAGCUCUGAAACUCUCAGCUCCUCAGAUCAUUUCCCAUACCACCCUUCCCCUGACUCCAGCUUCUUCUUAUGUAUUGUCUUUCUCCACCAUAUUGUGAGGUCCUCGGAGGCAGGAACUGUCAUAUCUUUCUUUGUAUUCCCAGCAGUUAGCACAGUUCCCAGCACAUAGUAGGUACUUAAAAAAGGUUUAUUGACUCUAAAAUACUUAUAUCUGCUUUCUCUUCUGUAAAAUGGGAAUGGUACCAAUUAACACUUACCUUAUCUUGUGGUUAUGAGGAUUAAAUGAGGUAACAUGUAAAGGACUUUGCAAAUCUUGAAGUGCUAUAUAAAUGUUAGCUAUUAAUAAAUAUGACCAAAGGGCAUAAAAUAAAUGGUUU